UGCUCAGACACGUCAGGAGGA
rnacentral:miRNA from 1 species